GCUCUAGUAGUGUAGUGGUUAUCAUACGGCCCUGUCGAGGCCGUGACGCGGGUUCGAUUCCCGCCUAGGGCG
rnacentral:tRNA from 2 species